GGGUGAAAUAAAGCUUGGUUUUGCCUUUGCUGAGUGAAACAGAACUUCGGUUUUGCCUUUGCUGGAUACUGAUCUGAUCGUCGCAAGUCUGGUGACCUGCUGCAGAAGAUCCUCUCUCUCUCUCUAUCAUUAUAAGCAAUUCUGUCUAUCCUAUCACUCUCCCAACUCUAUCUAAUUUGAAAGCCAUUCUAUCUUGUAUCCCUCUAUCCCUACUGCUCUAUCUAAUUUGAAAGCCAUUCUAUCUUGUAUCCCUCUAUCCCUACUGCUCUAUCUAAUUUGAAAGCCAUUCUAUCUUGUAUCCCUCUAUCCCUACCGCUCUAUCUAAUUUGAAAGCCAUUCUAUCUUGUAUCCCUCUAUCCCUACUGCUCUAUCUAAUUUGAGAAUCCAAGUUUUGAGAAUCCUUUCAGAAUCCAAUUUUCAGAAAUCCAAGUUACCAGAACUUGAUCUAUCUGUUACAGAAUUCUGAGAGAUCUCUGCUCUCACUGCUCUUUCUUUCCUGUCUUUAAACUCUCUCACAUUCAGUCAUUUUGCUGGAAAUUACAAGUUGAAUAUACAGUAGUAGAAUUACAGUACAGUAGAACUUAUAGUAGAAACUACUUACACAGCCCUACAUUUGUCAUUUUAAUUUUGCAUUAGACUUUAGUUUGGACUGCUAGUUUGGCUUACUUUGAU